rnacentral:rRNA from 1 species
GACGAACGCUGGCGGCGUUCCUAAUACAUGCAAGUCGAACGCAGUGGGGACGGGUGAGUAACCCGUGGGUAACCUCCCAUCAGAGGGGAUAACACUUGGAAACCGGUUCUAAACCGCUACUGAUGGAUGAACCCCCGGUGCAUUAGCUAGUUGGUGAGGUAACGGCUCACCAAGGCCACGAUGCAUAGCCGACCUGAGAGGGGGAUCGGCAACACUGGGACUGAGACACGGCCCAGACUCAUACGUGAGGCAGCAGUAGGGAAUCUUCGGCAAUGGACGAAAGUCUGACCGAGAAACGCCGCGUGAGUGAAGAAGGUUUUCGGAUCGUAAAACGCUGUGGUUAGAGAAGCGGUAUCUAACCAGAAAGCCACGGCUAACUACGUGCCAGCCGCCGCGGUAAUUC